UUUCUUGUUGGACAAUAGAUGGAAACUGUAAGAUCUAAAAAUUAGGGCUGCAUACAAAUUUUGAAUAAACAUUGUUGAGUUUGUUUUACACGCUUUUGGUGUUUAUGUUAGCUUUCUUGUUGUUGGGUCGAGUAACGGGUCAAAACAUUUUCUGACCAAAAUGGGUUCGGGUCAAAACAGGGCGUUAACCCCGCCUUUAAACAACUUAGUAUAGAGUAUGACUCAAAUUCUUCAAGAAUUACCAAUUCUAAAACAUAGAGCUAAACACCACUAAAGCUAAUGACACUUGUUACACAAGGUUGAUGUCAUUGUAAGCUUGUAAAAUGGAAGGCUUGUACACGAACAGAUUAGUCAAGCUACGUUGAGUGCGGUUCAUAGUCAGAUGGGAGCUGUUGAAACAAGCUUUGAUGAGGUGCAUAACAUAUUUGACAUUGGUGGAUCUAAAGGCUUGACUAAGUAUUCAGUGGGAAAAAAUUCCUAAAAUCGCCAUUACUUAAUGAUGUUGAUGAAUUGGGAGAACGCGUUUCUUGUUCCGUGUGCCUUCAGGAUUUUCAAGUUGGAGAAAUACUAAGGAGUUACGAAGUUUUUUCUAUGGAAUGUCUCCAUGGCAGAUUAUAAUGAUCGUUGCAGCAAGCUCAGUUGGUGCGGAGCUAUUUUACCGCGCUGCUGUUCAGGGUUUCGCUGGAGAUUUUUCAUAAUCAGCGACGGAGAUCUUCGGCGGUGACUAAUCUCUCUAGAUUCACGGCGGCGAUAGGCGGCGAUAUACACAUCUUACAGGGGAUUCAAUUGGGAUACUGAUUUCGGCGUUUGUAUACUGAUUUCGGCUACACAUGGCUUUGUCUGACUCAUCUCGUGUUGGAGUUGAACCUACGGCAUCUGAUGAUCAUCAUACAACAUUGUCUGCAUACAAUCCACAUCCCGAUUCUGGUUUUUUUGGCCCAUCUGAUGUCAAUUUCAAUCCUAUUUCUGCCGUGGGUCCAUCUGAUGUUGAUGUCAAUACCUUACCUGCAGUUAAUCCAAAUGAAAGUUGCAAUCCUGUGUUUACAACAGUUGCAAAUCGACACACCUUUCAUGGGUUUGAAAUACAGACGUUUGAUUCCAUGUUUACACCAGGCAACAUAGGCUCUGAGACUGCUAAUUUACCUGAUCAAUCAUUAUCAGUUGACACUGCAUCUACUGUUUCUCGAGGAUUUUAUCAAUGGGACGGAAGUUUCAUCUCUUUUGGACUGCAUUCGUCUGACAGCAGGACCUUUGCAUGCUCUUGAUGCUGCAACACGUCCUGCAUGGGCUGCUCCGGUUUCUGCAGUUUCUGGUGCGGCUUCAUCUAUCCCGACACUAUCAAGAGCAAAUGUUAAUGGGCAAAUGCCAAAUGGUACAAACCCAAAUGUUGGUCAUGUCUAUGGUCCCGGUACGGGUCCUGGUGGAAACCCUGGUGCAUCUGCCAUGUUAACUGCUUCUACUGUGGCUAGCGGAGGUGGCAUGGGAAUCGUUCCUAGUACUCUGUUACCGAUUGAUGUGUCGUUUGUUCUUCGUGGCCCGUAUUGGAUUCAGAUAAUAUACCGGAAAUAUUUUGCGGUUAACAUGAGGUGCUUUGCGGGUGAUCAAGUUUGGUUGCAACCUGCAACGCCACCGAAAGGCGGUCCUACAGUUGGAGGUUCUUU